rnacentral:rRNA from 1 species
UUUAAUGGAGAGUUUGAUCCUGGCUCAGGACGAACGCUGGCGGCGUGCCUAAUACAUGCAAGUCGAGCGAGGGUCUUCGGACCCUAGCGGCGGACGGGUGAGUAACACGUAGGCAACCUGCCUGUAAGACUGGGAUAACAUAGGGAAACUUAUGCUAAUACCGGAUAGAGUUUUGCUUCGCAUGAAGCGAAACGGAAAGAUGGCGCAAGCUAU